UAAAGAGGUAAGAGGGUCAUAAGUAGCGGUCGCAACCCAAGGAACACAUACGAGUCAACAAAAAAUCAAAAUAAUUUUAUUUUCAUUCUUAACGUCAAUAAACAGAUAAAUUUUGUGACGAAAAAUCACCGUGACGUCUACAUUUAAUGACGUCAAAAUAAAAUCAUUCUUUUUUCUAUUGACUUGGUGUGUUCCUUGAGAGGCUGUCGCUCCGAUAUUCUCCAUUCGUCAACCAUCCCGCGAUCCGCAUUGUCAGGAUUUAUCGCAAUUACACGUUACAAUUAUAGAUACAUUAUUCUCGGUGGUGUCUGGAAGGAACGUUCGUUGGCUCGUUAAAACGCACUUUAAAAGACGACGCUAUUGUCGCUGAGUCACGCUCUGCGUCGAAUGACGCAGACACUCGGUUGAGACGUCUGUCUCUCGUACGCAGAUACGCUAUUAACUUAUUCCGAAACAUAAUGGACGUUGGCUAGAGACCCUGGCAGGCGCGUUUUGGAAUUAUGCAUAGCGCGUCAAAAAUAUACGUGAUUCUCCGUUCCGGAUUGAUGCAACGCGAAUCAAGAGAAUCUUUCCAAACGCCAGAGGGAAUAUUUCUAAACACUUCUAAAUUUGAAAACUCAGUUAUAUCGAAAGAGACACGCCAGUUUUUCAGCAGCUGAAGUAAACGCGCCUUAGAAAUAUAAUUUUGCAGAGCUAACAAGAAACGUACUGCAAGACGUUGCAUGUUCGUCAAUGAAAAAUUCGCUAAUAAUCGGAAAAUUCGUAAAGUAUGAAUUUACUAGGAUCAAUUACGCUAAAAUGCAUCCGACGAAAGAUGUGCCAGCGUUUAAGUUUAUUUAUAUCCGAGUACGAUCACCUGGUAAAGUGGCAAUCGCCGGCAUUGCGUGGCCAUGACCAGACAACAAUUCGCGAUCGGUGUUCAACGCGUUGAUUAUUCCUGCAAUGACACAAAUUCGUAUAAAAUCGUUCCGCUUUGCAUUACUCAAAUAACGAAAAUAAUAAAUAAAUACAACUAAACAUGUUGUACAAUUUUUCAA